UUUUUUUUUUUCUUUUUUUUUUUUCUUUUUAGGGCUGCACCUGCAGCAUCUGGAGGUUUCCUAGGCUAGGAGUCCCAUCAGAGCUACAGCUGCUGGCCUAUGCCACAGCCACAGCAAUGCCAGCUCCAAGCCGUGUCUGCGACCUACACCACAGGUCACGGCAACACCAGAUUCUUAACCCACUGAGUGAGGCCAGGGGUCGAACCCACAACCUCAUGGUUCCUAGUUGGAUUUGUUGCCAGUGCACCACAACGGGAACUCCUGGUCUCAGCUUUUCUGCUCCUUACCUAAUUUCUCCUCCUCUCCCAAACCUUUAAUGUUCAAGUGACCCAGGGCUCUUUUCUAUCCCCAUCCCCUUCCCCAUUAUUCUCACUGAAUCCUAGGGCUCCCCAAACCUAUCCAGUCACUGGUGAUUCCUUUCCUGAACUCCAGACUCCUGUUUCCAACUCCUAGUCAGUGUAUCUCCUUGGUUAGGACAUCUCCACCUCAGCAUAUUCCAAAUAACACUCCUGAUCUGGUCCCCAACAAACUUGUUCCAUUCCCAGGUUUACCCACCUUGGUAAAUUAGAGACUGUCUUUCUAAUUGCUUAGGCCAAAAACUUGAGUCAUCCUUGACAAUUUACUUUCUCUUGUACCUCGCCUGAUCUGUUAGCAAAUCCUGUGGAAUCUCUGAAAUAUACCCAGAAUCUGUACCUUUCUUCACACAUUUGCUGCUGUCGCACUAUUCUCUCUCACUUUGCUUCCCUAGAGGGUAUUCUCUGCACAGUAAUCUGAGUGAUCCCAUCAGAUAAUAUUACUUCUUACCUCAAACCCUCCAGCAGCUCCCAUCUUAUCCUGGGUAAAAGCCAAAGUCCUUAUAACAAUGAUCUCUACGGCCCUGCACAUCUGGCCACAUGCUGCCUUUUCAACAUCGAACACUAAACUCACUAUUCCAGUAAUUCUCCAGACAUGAAGCAGCCCCAGGACCUUUUCACCUGCUGUUCUGUCUGUGGAGUACUCUUCCUCUAAAAGUCACUCCUCACCUCCUUCAAGAGUUUGCUCAAAUGUCACCUCAGUGAAGCCUACCCUAUAUCCUGUCCAAAAUUGUGAAACAUUUCUCCCCAUAGCACUUUCAUCAUCUAACAUACAUGGUGCUAACCAAGGGUGAGGGAACUCUAGAAUGGACAGUAGAAGACAGAGACCUGUAUCAUUUGCUGCCUCCAGAUCAGCUGCUGGGCUGGGGGCUGUGGCUUGUACCACAUCCAGCGCUGCAGCUGCCGUGGGCACUGCAGGUUGAUGGAGCUUGGGAUACUCUGCUGACAUGCUCCGGGAUCUAAUUUUUAGAGGCCAGACUGAUGAAUUAAAUGGGAAUUGAUCUUCUUCCUUUAGGUCUUUUAAGGUACUAUUUUCUGCUUUUUGCCUCAGGAUAUUUAAAAUUUGCAGUCUUGCUCAGAGGAGAAAUGUAUGGGCAGUUUCAGAGGCUCUCACUGGUCCAUCCCUACUUUUUAUUCACAGGCCAAGGGACCAAUGUGGAUAUGUGGGUGUUCUGGCAACUUGCAAGUAUUAUCUCUUUCAAUUACACAUUCAGGGACUGGGGACAUAACCACAGGGUUAGUCUCUGGACCAAGCGGACCUACUGAAGUAGACCUGGGCUAGAAGUCCAUCUCUUACCUGGCUCUCAUCCAUAUUCACUCUACUAGGGACCAUGAUUUAUAUCACGCUGGAUAUCAUUGUCAUCUCAGACCUUGUGUUCAGCAGUUGUCAAAAUACCGGGCUAUUUCCUUUCCCCAGGGUAUAGGUUACCCAAGUAAAUACCUGCCAGUCCCUUUGUAGAAGGACUGGGGUAUCCUUGUCAUAUAGGCUUGCCAAGGUGUUGCAGGGUGCAUCUUCCUGAGGCCCUGGCCUUUCCUUCAGUUAGUGGGUUCCAAGUCUAAAGAUUAGUUUAGGUCCAGAAGCUCAUCAAAGAAUGCUGACUUUUUAUUGGCACAACUGCCGUUAGUCUCUUCACGAUCCUUCCUCUUGAUCCGUGCAUCAGAAUCACUCAGAAGGCCGUGUUAAACUACAGAUUGCUCAUCCACACAGCCAGAGUUUCUGAGUAGGUCUGGGCUGGGGCCUGAGAAUUGGUGCCUCUCACAAUUUUCCAGAUGAUGCUGAUGCUGCUGGUCAGAGACCACACUUUGAAAACACUGUACAGAUCAAUCUGGGGACUCCCCAUGAGCUCCAGCCAUUUUCCCAACCUUCUGUGCUUCAGUCACCCCCUGCUGCUCUAACCUGCUGUUCAGUGAGCAGUUUGCCCCCACCUUGCUUCGGACAGUUAAACAUUGUCACCUGGCCUCUAGGGCUCUGGGAUCUUCCCUCUCCGUGUGAAUCAAUCGUUGGAUGUAGGCUGCCCCCAGGGAGAGGACCUGUCCUUGUGCCAGGGCUCUGGGCAAUGGGGACUGGCCGGGAGCUCUCAGCUGUCAGCACUAAACAACUGGGAAAAUUGGGUGUAUGGGGCUUGAAGGGAAAAUGUGGGUGGUGCUUUUCUGACCCUACCAUGAAUCUACCAGCAUCAGCCUCACAGCCAGGACUGGGGUGACAGGAGUGAGAUUUGCCUCAGGUACAAAAUUUAAGGGGACACCAAAAGAUUAAAUAAUCAAGGUAAACAUUUUGAAGCCACAUUUCAAAAAGCAAAAUGCAAAAAAAUUCCAUGAUAAGCAAAAUUUCAGAUUUUUAAAUAAAGGCAGGAUCAGUGUUAUGGAUCUUUCUGUUUCCCUUGCAAUCUGUCUACACCCACUGGAAGUUAAGUUCUGAGAGGGCCAGGGUUUCUGUUUGCCUUACUCACUGAUGUACCCCCAAUUCUUAGAGGAGUUCCUGGCACAUACUAGAUGCUCAGUUAAUCUUUGUUGAAUGAGACAUUUAAGACCUGUAAGGGAAGCAUGACCAUUUGUCUACACUUGCCCAUUUCUCCCUCUUCUCCCAGUAUUUCUCAGUUAGUACCGACUAGACAAAAGAGGCUUCUUCAUCUUGGAGCCAGGAGAAUUGGAGGGAGCUUUGUGCCAUGGAGGGAAAGCACCUGACAAAAUAGCACAUAUUUUAUUGUUAAUGUCAAUUGUGAAGUGUGUUUAAAAGUAUUUCUUUAGUGAUUUCAUCAUCAGAUUUAAAGGAUAGAUGCAAUGCAUGUCAUUAUACUAACUAACCACAGCUAUUAGUUGUCAUCUUGUAUAAUUAUGAGAAACAGCUUUCAGAACUGCUCCUAAAAAGCUGCCCUGCCCCCAAGGAUUAGAUGGAUUUAGGAUUCCAGGACCAAAAGCAGAAGAGCAGAUCUUCAUGCAAGUGGCAAGUGUCAUGGUCAGCAGGUUCCUGUCCUCCCCUGCUUUUUAUCUCCAUGAGACAUCUGAUUAUUCCACCAGGAGCACCAAGGUUUAUGUUUCAACCAGGAAUGGCUGAAAUGGCAGACCUUUUGCACAUGACACUGGAAGAAGAUGUGACCAGAACUGCAGGGCACUAGCUCUGGUGAGUCCCCUCCUUAUUGCCCUCUCUGCACCCACGACCAGUUCUAAUUUAUUUACUCAGUAAAGGAAACUUGGGAGUCCCUGGGGCAGAAGAGAAUCUCAGGGGAUUAAAGGCAACUCCCACUCACUAUAGAAAAAUGAGAUUGUUUCUGUCCCUCCAAAGCGAAGUGCAAAACAAAUCCCAAGCAUCCGAUCUCCAGUGUCAUUUCAAACCAAACCAAACCAACCAAUCAAACAAAAAGCCUGCCAAGCAAAAAUUUAGACCCGAGAAAUUUCAGAAGCAGAGGACCUGAGUCUGGUCAUCCUGCCCCUCUCUGGAGCAAGAGCCAUGUAUGUGGCAGGGAGUUGGGUGAUGCCAGGGUGUUGAUGAUGUCCUGCCUCAUGACAUGUACCAACUGCCAUCCUCCCAGGCACAGAGAGAUCUGAGUGGACAAUUGAGAAGAUAUGGGAAGAGGAAGGAACUGCCUGGUAUUGAGCACCUACUCUGCUUGGUGUCAUAUUAGACACUUGAUGUACCUUGGUCUGUAUGUAUGAGAUAGGUAGAUAAUAAAUACUUAGUUCUCAUAGCAAUUAUGUAAGAAAGGUAACAUCAACUCUGUUUAUAGAUGGAAACAUGAUCAGAGGGGGCUAUGUUAAUUUUUCAAGGUCACACAGCUAACAAAUGGCUUCUGGAGGAGGAGAAACUGAUUCCAAAAUCAGUGCCCCAAGUCACCUAUAUAUAUCAUGACAAUUCCCCCAAAGAAAUAUGACUAUAUCAGGGCAAGGCCAAAGUCAGAAGGGUCUUGUCUCAUCUCCCAUUCAGUCAUGGAGUGCUUUCAGAGAGAAAAGUGUGGGCAGCCCUCUCCUACAGGCACUUGGGUUGAGGGCAGUUCCCUUUUCUUUACAGGCAGACCUGGGCAGCUGCAUAUGCAAAGCAGGGGAUUUCUCCACACCUUAGCCCUGGUUCAGCACCUAAGGAAAGGCAGUAACACCUCAAGGCGGCUGUGCUUCGCCACGCCAAGCCGGGCUGUGGCAUCCGCUGGGCUCUGGGCACUGUCGCGGCGGAACACUGUGAGGCUGCCCUGGGGGAUGGCGAGGUGCAGCCAGGCCAAGUAGCCCUUUUUUUUUCCCCCCAUCAAAUGUGUGAAAGUACUUUUUUUCAUGGGGAGCUUUUGCUCAUUAAAAAGCUGGACCCUAGAUAACUGUCCGGAAGGGGUUUUGUGUGUCCGUUUCCUGUGCUUACUUCCCUUGAACAAAGGUGGCUCUGACAAGUCCCAGUCCCCCGGAAAGGGAAUCUAGGCCAGCCCGUUCUCUCUGUGGCUCACACCACUAGGGGGCGUGGAGGAUCGCUGACAAAGGAACUCAAAAGCCUGGGAUGCCUGAACUCACCAGCUGAAGCUGGAGACCUGCCUGCAUUCAACUCAUGAUGAAAAAGUUUCUUCCAAAAGCAGGCCCCUUGGGCGCUCCAGGCAGACACACAGGCCCACUGAGGGCUGGGCCAGAGCCGGUGGGGGCGGGGAACCCCAUUUGAGCAUCACAGAACAGUGCUCCUUCUUCUGAAGACUUUGCACCUGAAGAGCUAGACUGUGGCAGGGCCUUGAAGCCCUGAGAGCCUUGAAGCCAGAGUCCAUUUUAUAGAAGCGCAGACUCUGAAAGAAUAUACGUUCAGUAAUGUGAUUCCUUUGGGAGGUGGGGAACAGGCAGAUUCCUAUCCACAAGGUCCUCAGAUUUGUGUUAAUCAGAAAUUUAAAACAAAAAACAAAACAAAAAAAAAAAACACACAGAAUCUCCCACAAGCAAUAGCCUGCAUUAUUUUUUUGUGGUUGAGACAUCAUCGACAUAGAGUAGGUUUAAAGUGUACAACGUGUUGAUUUGAUGCAUUUAUACAGUGUAUGAUCACCACUAUCAUGCCAGCCAACCUCCAUCACGUUAAGUAAUUACCAUUUCUUUUUUGUGGUGAGAACAAUUAAGACCUAGUCUUUUAGCAACUUUCAAUUAUAUAAUACAGUAUUAUUAACUGAAAUCAUCAUGCUGUGCAUUAGAUCUCCAGAAUUGAUUCAUCUUCUAGCUGUACGUUUGUGGCCUUUCGCCAACAUCUCCCCAUUUCCUCCACUUCCUGGCCCUGGUAACCACCCUUCUACUCUGUUUUUAUUCAGCUUUUUUAGAUUUCACAUACAAAUGAUGUCAUUACAAGAUUUGUCUUUCUCGGUCUGGAUUAUUUCAUUUAGCACAAUGUCCUGGAGCUCCAUCCAUGUUGUUGCAAGCAGCAGGAUGUACUUUCUCAUGGAUGAAUACUGUCCAAUUGUAUACAUGUCUGUCUUCUUUCUUCCUCAUUGAUAAAUGCUUGUUUCCUUAUCUUAGCUGCUGUGAAUAAUGCUGCAUUGAACAUGGUGGUGUAGAUCCUAUUUUCCUUUCCUUUGAAUAUAUACCCAGUAAUGAAAUUGCUGGAUCAUAUAUAGCUCUAUUUUUAAUUUUUUGAGGAACCGCCAUACUGUUUUCCAUAGUGAAUGGACCAAUUCACAUUUCCACCAACACUGCGCAAGUGUUCCCUUUUCUCCAAAUCGUUAUCAACAUUUGUUCUCUCUCUUUUUUUAAUGAUAGCUAUUCUAACAAGUGUGAAGUGAUAUCUCACUGUGGUUUUGACUUGUGUUUCUGUGGUGAUUCAUGAUGUUGAGCACCUACCUUUUCAUGUACCUACUGGCCAUUUGUAUGUCUUCUUUGGAGAAAUACUUAUUCAGCUUCUCCGUUUUAAAGUCAAAUUGUUUGGAGUUUUGUUUGUUUGUUUGUUUUUGUUUUUUGGUGUUGAGUUGUAUAAAUUAUUUAUAUACUGGAGAAAUUAAUCCCUUAUCAGGAAUAUAUAAUUUAUUUAUUAAAUUAAAAAGUAGGCUUCUGGAAACGCAACAGAGGAGAUUCACUCAUACUUUUUAAAAAUCUGCCUUUACUAGCACUUACUGUUUGCCAGGCUAUGCCAAGCCUGAGGAAUCUGUAAAAGAUAUUUGUUAUUGUCUGGCCACCAUUAUCUGAGCCACCCUCCUUAUUUGAGGAAUUCCCUCCCCAUCUCUGACCAGGCUGAAAACAUCAGCUACUCACCUUCAUUCAGAGUAUGUGCACUUUGACCAGGGCUUAGCCAAUCCGGUGCAUGCACCUCAGUGUAUUGGGAGCAGAGAGGCCAGGACGAAGGAGGGGGGCCAACCCACCAACAGGGAGGGCUGUGGCAGAUGCUGCAGCAACGUCUCAUUUCCAGGAACAGCUGGCAAUUUCCGUGGAAAGGCAGUGCAUUCUGGACAUCAGGUGACCUGGUUUGGUGGUGUAAUUUUGAAUGUGGCCCUCCCUCGUGUCUUUUAGUUUCCUUUUUUUCAUACCUAAUUCUGAUUUUUCCCACUGAUUCAAUGAGCUACUGCAUUCCUUUUAGCUAAGUCCCUGUGUACUUAAAUCAACACAGAUGGGUUUUGUUCUUCACAGCUAAGAACCCUGAUUGACCAGGAAGAAAAAAAAUUAAGUCUGAAUCAUGUCCCUCAAGAGCUUGGCACACACGUGAUUUCAAUACAGUCCGUGUUCUGGAGGAAAGACGGGACUCUUGGAGCUUCAGUAAGGAACACAAAGGCCUUUGACUGCAAGGAACUCAGUCUACUGGGAGAGAUGGAUACAUCAACAGGUAGUUGUAUAGCAAUGUCAUAAAAACAGUGCUGGAGAUGUACUCAGGGAGAGAUGGAAGCAUCAGGAGCAGCACAGCCCAGCUCUGGCAAGCCAGGGUGCUGAUGGAAGAAGGCUUUGGAGACAGGCCUGUGAUGUUUGACCCAAGCCCUAAAAGAAGAGUAAAAGUAAGUCAGACAAAAGCAGAGGAGCCUUGCAAAAAAGAAGCCCUUCCCUGUGCAAAAGCAAAAGCCCAAAGGAAAUUCAACAUGGAAUGUGUGAAGUUAAGCAGUUUGGUGUGGCUAGAACCACUAUAUUUCUAGAAAAGAAUAAAAAAGUUGGAGUUUCCAUUGUGGCUCAGCGGGUUAAGAAGCUGAAUGGUAUCCAGGAGGAUGUGAGUUCGAUCCCCAGUCUUAUUCAGUGUGUUAAGGAUCUGGUGCUGUUGAAAGCUGCAGCAUAAGUUGCAGAUGCAGCCCAGAUCCCAUGUUGCUGUGACUGUGGUGUAAGCCAGAAGCUGCAGCUCCAAUUCAACCCCUAGCCUGGGAACUACUAUAUGCUGCAGAUUCAGCCAUUAAAAAAAAAAAAGAAGAAUAAGAAAGUUGUCUUGAGCCAAAAGCAAGAGGUGUGCUUUGAGUACAAGACUUGGAUGUAGAGGUGAGACUUGGGAAUAGCUCCCUAGAGGAAAGGGAGAUGCUGAGGACGAAGGAUAAGGAAAAGGUUCAGUGAUGCAGAGAGCCCAGGAGAGGCUGUAGAGCAUAAUAUUUUAGUAGAACUAACCCAUGUGGUCAGAGAUUUUCUCCAGAAAUAUUUAGCUACAAAUGUAUAAC
rnacentral:lncRNA from 1 species